rnacentral:rRNA from 1 species
UACGUAGGGCGCAAGCGUUGUCCGGAAUUAUUGGGCGUAAAGAGCUCGUAGGUGGCUUGUCACGUCGGGUGUGAAAGCUUGGGGCUUAACUCCAGGUCUGCAUUCGAUACGGGCUGGCUAGAGGUAGGUAGGGGAGAACGGAAUUCCUGGUGUAGCGGUGAAAUGCGCAGAUAUCAGGAGGAACACCGGUGGCGAAGGCGGUUCUCUGGGCCUUACCUGACGCUGAGGAGCGAAAGCGUGGGGAGCGAAC